AAAGCUCAAAUUUAAAAUCUGGCAGUCUUUGGCUGUCCGAGUUGUAGUCUGGAGAAGCGUUUUCCGCGCUGGACCGUGUAUAAGUUGCUUGGAAUAGUGCAUCAUAGAGGGUGAGAAUCCCGUCUUUGACACGGACUACCAGUGCUUUGUGAUGCGCUCUCAAAGAGUCGAGUUGUUUGGGAAUGCAGCUCAAAAUGGGUGGUAAAUUCCAUCUAAAGCUAAAUAUUGGCGAGAGACCGAUAGCGAA
rnacentral:rRNA from 1 species